rnacentral:rRNA from 1 species
GUACGAAGGGGAGCUAGCGUUGUUCGGAUUUACUGGGCGUAAAGCGCACGUAGGCGGUUUGUUAAGUCAGAGGUGAAAUCCCGGAGCUCAACUCCGGAACUGCCUUUGAUACUGGCAAGCUAGAGUCCGGAAGAGGUAAGUGGAACUCCUAGUGUAGAGGUGGAAUUCGUAGAUAUUAGGAAGAACACCAGUGGCGAAGGCGGCUUACUGGUCCGGAACUGACGCUGAGGUGCGAAAGCGUGGGGAGCAAACAGG